rnacentral:rRNA from 1 species
UGCAUAUCAAUAAGCGGAGGAAAAGAAACUAACAAGGAUUCCCCUAGUAACGGCGAGUGAAGCGGGAAAAGCUCAAAUUUGUAAUCUGGCGCCUUUGGCGUCCGAGUUGUAAUCUCGAGAAGUAUUUUCCGCGCUGGACCGCACAUAAGUCUGUUGGAAUACAGCGUCAUAGUGGUGAGAACCCCGUAUAGGGUGCGGAUGCCCAGUGCUUUGUGAUAUACUUUCGAAGAGUCGAGUUGUUUGGGAAUGCAGCUCAAAUUGGGUGGUAAAUUCCAUCUAAAGCUAAAUAUUGGCGAGAGACCGAUAGCGAACAAGUACCGUGAGGGAAAGAUGAAAAGCACUUUGGAAAGAGAGUUAACAGUACGUGAAAUUGUUGGAAGGGAAACGCUUGAAGUCAGACUUGCAUUUUGGAGUUCAGCCGCAAGGUGUAUUCUUCAAUUCGCAGGCCAGCAUCAGUUUUGGGGGGUGGAAAAUCGUGGUUUGAAGGUAGCAGUCUCGGCUGUGUUAUAGCUUUCCACUGGAUUCACUUUUCGGGACUGAGGAACGCAGUACGCUUUUUGCAAGAUUCUCGGAUCUUUCGUACUUAGGAUGCUGGUGGAAUGGCUUUAAACGACCCGUCUUGAAACACGGACCA